rnacentral:rRNA from 1 species
UAUUCUGUAGCAAGGUUAACCGUAUAGGGGAGCCGAAGGGAAACCGAGUCUUAACCGGGCGUUAAGUUGCAGGGUAUAGACCCGAAACCCGGUGAUCUAGCCAUGGGCAGGUUGAAGGUUGGGUAACACUAACUGGAGGACCGAACCGACUAAUGUUGAAAAAUUAGCGGAUGACCUGUGGCUGGGGGUGAAAGGCCAAUCAAACCGGGAGAUAGCUGGUUCUCCCCGAAAGCUAUUUAGGUAGCGCCUCGUGAAUUCAUCUCCGGGGGUAGAGCACUGUUUCGGCUAGGGGGCCAUCCCGGCUUACCAACCCGAUGCAAACUGCGAAUACCGGAGAAUGUUAUCACGGGAGACACACGGCGGGUGCUAACGUCCGUCGUGAAGAGGGAAACAACCCAGACCGCCAGCUAAGGUCCCAAAGUCAUAGUUAAGUGGGAAACGAUGUGGGAAGGCCCAGACAGCCAGGAUGUUGGCUUAGAAGCAGCCAUCAUUUAAAGAAAGCGUAAUAGCUCACUGGUCGAGUCGGCCUGCGCGGAAG